rnacentral:misc_RNA from 1 species
GAAAUGCGAUAAGUAAUGUGAAUUGCAGAAUUCAGCGAAUCAUCGAAUCUUUGAACGCACAUUGCGCCCGCCAGCACUCUGGCGGGCAUGCCUGUUCGAGCGUCAUUUCCACCAUCAGGCCCCCGGGCUUGUGUUGGGGCCCUGCGGCUGCCCGCAGGCCCUGAAAACCAGUGGCGGGCUCGCCGCCGCGCCCGAGCGUAGUAGAUCGUCCCUCUCGCUCGGGGCGCGCCGCGGCGUCCCCUGCCGUUAAACACACCACCAAAAACAGAAAGGUUGACCUCGGAUCAGGUAGGAAUACCCGCUGAACUUAA